rnacentral:rRNA from 1 species
CACGCUGUAAACGAUGUUCACUAGGUGUUGGGGGUAUUGACCCCCUCAGUGCCGCAGCUAACGCAUUAAGUGAACCGCCUGGGGAGUACGGUCGCAAGACUAAAACUCAAAGGAAUUGACGGGGGCCCGCACAAGCGGUGGAGCAUGUGGUUUAAUUCGAUGCAACGCGAAGAACCUUACCUGGGCUUGACAUCCCGAGAAUCCCCUUGAAAGAGGGGAGUGCCUUUCGGGGAACUCGGUGACAGGUGC